rnacentral:misc_RNA from 1 species
GAACUGCGAUAAGUAAUGUGAAUUGCAGAAUUCAGUGAAUCAUCGAGUCUUUGAACGCACAUUGCGCCCGCUGGCAUUCCGGGGGGCAUGCCUGUCCGAGCGUCAUUGCUGCCCUUCAAGCCCGGCUUGUGUGUUGGGUCGUCGUCCCCUCCGGGGGACGGGCCCGAAAGGCAGCGGCGGCACCGCGUCCGGUCCUCGAGCGUAUGGGGCUUUGUCACCCGCUCGAUAAGGACCGGCCGGGCGCCAGCCGGCGUCUCCAACCUUUUUUUCUCAGGUUGACCUCGGAUCAGGUAGGGAUACCCGCUGAACUUAAGC